AAACUUUCAACAACGGAUCUCUUGGUUCCGGCAUCGAUGAAGAACGCAGCGAAAUGCGAUAAGUAAUGUGAAUUGCAGAAUUCAGUGAAUCAUCGAGCUUUGAACGCACAUUGCGCCCCCUGGUAUUCCGGGGGGCAUGCCUGUCCGAGCGUCAUU
rnacentral:rRNA from 1 species